GCAGCUCAGUCCUAGAGCAUCUGCUUUGCAUGCAGAAGGGCCAAGGUUCAACCCCAGGAAUCUCUA